AGCUGUCUGGAGCUUGAGGAGGGAAGAUCAAGCUCCUAGCAGGAGGAAGGAGUGCUAGCACCUGGACAGAGCAGUGCUGCCAGCAGGGACAGGGGAAGCUAGAGCAAACUCAUGGCUAGCUGCUAAGACUGGUAGGCUGAAGCCUUGAGGAAAGGGCAAAGAAGGUGCUGAGGGGGCCGCAAGGAGGUGAUCCAGGGAAAUUAACUGAGGAGGUGGAGGGGAUGCAGCAAGUGGUUACCACUUACGGGUUCCCUGGGCUGGGACCCAGAGCAGUGGGUAGGCCUGGGUUCCUCCUCCCCUUGCCACUGAGGAACUGGCCAAAUAAUUGGCUGCAGUUGCCACUGGAGGAAGUAGCUGGACAAUAGACUGCAGUUUCUGUGGAAAGGGGGAGAACAGAGCUGGACAACAAGGCUGUGUCCUGAAGAGGAUGCCAUGGUCCGUGGGGCAAUGCGGGUCCUGGAGCGGAGGUGAUGGCAGUAGCAUUACAGUAAGAAACCUGAAGAGGGUAGAAGCAUCUGUCAUGUAUAGCCACUCUGAAACUAUGGAUAUUAAAGCACCCAGAUGGAAAAAAAAUCUUGAAAGCUGAUAAUCCCUGUGCAUGGAUGGUUGCAGAGAGGCCAUCUUAAUCCCAAAAUAUUGAUGCUGCCGUUUCUGGUGCUGGCUCGCCAUCUGCUCUUCUUCAUGCUGGAUGUGAUCAGAUAUGAACUUUAAAGCCCUUCUUGUAGAUGAAACUUAUUUUGGUUUGAAGAUAUUUUAUUUUCAGGCAAAUGUUUAAUUCCUUUUUCUUGCACAAACAUGUUUUCAGUGGCAUCGUAACUAACAGCAGCAAACACCUAUGGCUGUCCAAGACGUCCACAUUCUUUCUUGGAAGAUUCUGAUGGACCCAUGAUCUUAAGAAGACUUACGCAGCCUUUAAUUGUUGGACUUUUUUGAUUCAUGGUUCUUCAGUGCAGCAGUAACCCCUCCUGCUACGUUGACAGCUUCCUUGCCUUGUGCCAUACUGACAGGCAAGACCAGCAGGAUUUUAAUUUUGGCUUAUCCACAGGAAGGGGAAGAAGCCUGGCUGAAAAUGGUCAAAAGGGAUUAAAGAGGCUGGUGCAAGGCUUGAUGAUAAAUCCUUAGCCAUGUUUCUCCUUUCUUUAAAGUUAAAUAAGGAUGAUGACGUUUAUAUCGUAGAGGAAAGCCUGUGCUAAGCCUAGCCUGAUAGCAACCAAUACUUGUUUCUCUUUGUAUGGUGGAAGUCCUGCUGAAUGCAGCUGCUGAACCAAACUGGGACAGAAUAGAAAAAUAUUUAUCUCAAUUUAAGGGAAAACAAACUUACCUUCUAAGAACAAUGGCACACUUUCUCUUGGAAAAUAUAUUUUUAUUUUUGCAGUUUUCAGUACCAAUAAAACAGAUUAUUUAAAA